rnacentral:rRNA from 1 species
GGAAUCUUCCACAAUGGGCGAAAGCCUGAUGGAGCAACGCCGCGUGUGUGAUGAAGGGUUUCGGCUCGUAAAGCACUGUUGUAUGGGAAGAACCGCUAGAAUAGGAAAUGAUUUUAGUUUGACGGUACCAUACCAGAAAGGGACGGCUAAAUACGUGCCAC